AAUUUAUAUUAUUAUAAUAAAGGAAAGUUUCAUACAAUUGCUAUUAAUUAUUUUUUAAGUAUAAAAGAUUUUUUUUUCUUUAGUGUAAGUUAAAUAGUACUUCUAUAGAAUGAGUGGAAGACAAGGUGGAAAAAAAAAGCCAUUAAAAGCCCCCAAAAAGCAAGAUAAUGAAUUAGAUGAGGAGGAUGUUGCGUUCAAACAGAAGCAAAAAGAAGAACAAAAGAAAUUAGAUGAUUUAAAAAAGAAAGCGGCUGCUAAAGGCCCUCUAGCAACCGGAGGAAUAAAGAAAUCUGGCAAAAAAUAACUCCUGGCAUAAUAAAUGCUUUUUAAAUUGUACAAACUAGUAAAAGAGGUUUAAAACCUAAACAAUAGUGAUUUUUACGAAUUCAGAUUUUGUUUUAAGAACUAAAAAAUGUUUCCGUUACGCUUAAAA
rnacentral:lncRNA from 1 species